UGAUAAGCAAGAGGGCUUCGGCCCAGCGAU
rnacentral:piRNA from 1 species